GUUUUUUGUAAAGACAGAUGGCAGCUACACCUUAUAACAUGAGAAGAUUCUGAACUCUCAUUAAUCCUUGAGACAUGAGCUGAGCAAUGACAAAGCAGAGUAGGCUAACUAGCAAGUAGGCUGAAUAGCUGUAUUUGAUGACACAACAGUGACUGGAUUGCACUUUGACAGUGAUGAUAAGUUUAGCAGAGAUGCAGAACCUGGUGAGCUGGUAUUCAGAGAACAACCUGUCCCUCAACACCACACAGAAGGUAGGAUUCAAGGGAAUGAGGUUUUUACAUGUGGUUAACUAUCACAAGCUAGGACUGAUCAGAGCAUUAUAACGGGUUGCUCUGUGCAGUUCAUGAGGCACUUUUUAAAUCAUAUCAACACAAUGUGAAUAACUAGCAAAAAAGUCAAAAGUAUGAACACUGGAUAAGAGAAUUUGUGUGUGUGUGUGUGUUACCUCAGUAUCUCCAGUGUACAGUGUGAGUUCUUCAGUCCAUCAGAGAGCAGCUUCACUCCUGAAUCCUGCAGGAUAUUCUCACUCAGGUUCAGUUCUCUCAGUCUGGAGGAGUUUGAGCUGAGAACUGAGGACAGAGCUCUACAGCUUUCCUCUGUCAGGUUACACCUACGGAGGCUGAAAAAAAUGAGAGAUAGAUAUUAUUUAAAACUGUUUUCUUAAAUGAAGUCAAAUAUCAUUAUUGUAAAUGAUAGCUAGCUAUUAACUUCUGAUACUUGGAUUCAAUAAAAACAAUAACAUUGGGGUGUUGUUUAUAAGGGUUUUUUCUUCUCUCUCUCUCUCUCUCUCUCUCUCUCUCCAGACAUGAGCUGAGUAAUGACAAAGCAGAGUAGGCUAACUAGCAAGUGGGCUGAAAAGCUCUAUUUGGUAAGUUUCAUGUUAUUGUAUUCUGACUGCACCAAAAGGGCACAAGCACCAAUGAGACGAGACCUCAUGUGUUCCCUUAUGCUGUAUCUUGCUCUCUCAUUGGCUGUAGGUCAUAGUUGAUGUAUUUUUCAGUCAGAACUCAUUUCACACUGCAGGAUUUUGAGGCAUUGGUGAUUCUCUCAGAUUGUGUCUUUGGAAAUUCACACUGCGUGAUUGUCACUCCAACAAACACCAAUUUGCCUAUGAUUUCUGGCAUUUGUCUGCGAUUUUGCAAAACCUGUCAGGGACUGAAAAUCAGAGCUAAAAUCUUGCAUUGUGAACUCGGCAUUAAUGGCCAGUAUAACAGUGUAGCUGCCACUAGCAAUUAUGCCACAGUUAAAGUCACAGAGAUCAGACUUUUUCAGACUCCUGAAUCUAUUGACCUGUAUGUGUCUGAUUUCAUACAUUGUGUUGCUGAUACAUGAUUGGCUGAUUGGACAACUGAAUGCAAGUGCAGGUGUACAGGUGUUCCUAAUAAAGUGAAUGGUGAGUGUAUAAGUACACCCCCUUCAAGUAUAUGUUUUAUUUAUCAGGUGCUAAAAAAUAAUUGUGAUCCUCACCAACAUUUAUAAUCAGUUAUAAUAAUAAUAAAAAAAAAAUAUUUAGAAACCAAGGGACAAAUAAAUACAACCUUUAAUUUGGUAUGUGUUGCAUGUA